rnacentral:rRNA from 1 species
CAGCCGCCACGGGAAUACAGAGGGUGCGAGCGUUAAUCGGAUUUACUGGGCGUAAAGCGUGCGUAGGCGGCUUCUUAAGUCGGAUGUGAAAUCCCUGAGCUUAACUUAGGAAUUGCAUUCGAUACUGGGAAGCUAGAGUAUGGGAGAGGAUGGUAGAAUUCCAGGUGUAGCGGUGAAAUGCGUAGAGAUCUGGAGGAAUACCGAUGGCGAAGGCAGCCAUCUGGCCUAAUACUGACGCUGAGGUACGAAAGCAUGGGGAGCAAACAGGAUUAGAUACCCCGGUAGUCCCUGUCUUUUUAUA